GACGAACGCUGGCGGCGUGCUUAACACAUGCAAGUCUAACGGAAAGGCCCUGCUUUUGUGGGGUGCUCGCGUGGCGAACGGGUGAGUAACACUUGAGUAACCUGCCCUUGACUUUGGGAUAACUUCAGUAAACUGGGGCUAAUACCGGAUAGGAGCUCCUGCUGCAUGGUGGGGGUUGGAAAGUUUCUGCGGUUGGGGAUGGACUCGCGGCUUAUCAGCUUGUUGGUGGGGUAGUGGCUUACCAAGGCUUUGACGGGUAGCCGGCCUGCGAGGGUGACCGGCCACAUUGGGACUGAGAUACGGCCCAGACUCCUACGGGAGGCAGCAGUGGGGAAUAUUGCACAAUGGGCGGAAGCCUGAUGCAGCAACGCCGCGUGCGGGAUGACGGCCUUCGGGUUGUAAACCGCUUUCGCCUGUGACGAAGCGUGAGUGACGGUAAUGGGUAAAGAAGCACCGGCUAACUACGUG
rnacentral:rRNA from 1 species